rnacentral:misc_RNA from 1 species
CACAAUAACAUAUGAAGGCUGUAUGCGGCUGCGCCCUCGGGCCAGUUGGCUGAGGCUGGAGUAUUUAUUACCCUUGUCUUUUGCGCACUUGUUGUUUCCUGGGCGGGUUCGCCCGCCACCAGGACCACAUGAUAAACCUUUUUUUAUGCAGUUGCAAUCAGCGUCAGUAAAACAAAUGUAAAUCAUUUA